rnacentral:rRNA from 1 species
UGGGGAAUAUUGGACAAUGGGCGAAAGCCUGAUCCAGCCAUGCCGCGUGUGUGAAGAAGGUCUUCGGAUUGUAAAGCACUUUAAGUUGGGAGGAAGGGCAGUAAGCGAAUACCUUGCUGUUUUGACGUUACCGACAGAAUAAGCACCGGCUAACUCUGUGCCAGCAGCCGCGGUAAUACAGAGGGUGCAAGCGUUAAUCGGAAUUACUGGGCGUAAAGCGCGCGUAGGUGGUUCGUUAAGUUGAAUGUGAAAGCCCCGGGCUCAACCUGGGAACUGCAUCCAAAACUGGCGAGCUAGAGUAGGGCAGAGAGUGGUGGAAUUUCCUGUGUAGCGGAGAAAUGCGUAGAUAUAGGAAGGAACACCAGUGGCGAAGGCGACCACCUGGGCUCAUACUGACACUGAGGUGCGAAAGCGUGGGGAGCAAACAGG